AAUGAACGCUGGCGGCAUGCCUAAUACAUGCAAGUCGAACGAACAGAUGAGGAGCUUUCGCCCCUGACGUUAGCGGCGGACGGGUGAGUAACACAUGGAUAACCUACCUCUAAGACUGGGAUAAUAACGGGAAACCGGAUCUACUACCGGAUAAUAUAUCGAACCGCAUGGUUCAAUCGUUAAAGUCGCUUUUGCUGUUACUUAUAGCCGAAUCCGCGCCGCAUUAGUUAGUUGGGAAGGUAACGGCUUACCAAGGCAACGAUGCGUAGCCGACCUGAGAGGGUGAUCGGCCACACUGGAACGAAGACACGGUCCAAAACCGUACGGGAGGCACCGGUAGGGAAACUUCCGGAAGGGGCGAAAGCCUGACGGGGCAACGCGGCGUGAGUGAGAAAGGUCUUCGGAUCGUAAGACUCUGUUAUUAGAGAAGAACAAAGGUGUAAGAAACUAGGCAAGUCUGAACGGUACCGAAUAAGAAGGCCAGGCUUAACUAGUU
rnacentral:rRNA from 1 species